rnacentral:rRNA from 1 species
AGUGAACGCUGGCGGUAGGCCUAACACAUGCAAGUCGAACGGCAGCACAGUAAGAGCUUGCUCUUACGGGUGGCGAGUGGCGGACGGGUGAGGAAUACAUCGGAAUCUACUUUUUCGUGGGGGAUAACGUAGGGAAACUUACGCUAAUACCGCAUACGACCUACGGGUGAAAGCAGGGGAUCUUCGGACCUUGCGCGAUUGAAUGAGCCGAUGUCGGAUUAGCUAGUUGGCGGGGUAAAGGCCCACCAAGGCGACGAUCCGUAGCUGGUCUGAGAGGAUGAUCAGCCACACUGGACCUGAGACACGGUCCAGACUCCUACGGGAGGCAGCAGUGGGGAAUAUUGGACAAUGGGCGCAAGCCUGAUCCAGCCAUACCGCGUGGGUGAAGAAGGCCUUCGGGUUGUAAAGCCCUUUUGUUGGGAAAGAAAAGCAGCAGGUUAAGACCCCGCUGUUCUGACGGUACCCAAAGAAUAAGCACCGGCUAACUUCGU